rnacentral:rRNA from 1 species
UACGUAGGGGGCGAGCGUUGUCCGGAGUUACUGGGCGUAAAGCGCACGCAGGCGGUCUGCUAAGUUUGGAGUGACAGUUGGCGGCUUAACUGCCAAAGUGCUUAGAAAACUGACAGACUUGAGGGCUUCAGAGGGACACGGAAUUCCGGGUGGAGUGGUGAAAUGCGUAGAGAUCCGGAGGAACACCAAAGGCGAAGGCAGUGUCCUGGGGAGUACCUGACGCUCAGGUGCGAAAGCCAGGGGAGCGAACGGG